GUAAAAAUCCCGGGCGUAGCCCGGGUUAAUCCCUAGUGUUUCAUAAAGUCGUAGCGAAGUUUGUCGUUGUCUCUGCCACGUACUCACUGCCUAUCUCUCUUCUGUUAGACACAUCACAUGAUGUACUUCACCCGAACUCUGUCGUCACUCCACACUAACUAAUAACUAUGCUCAAGUCUUUCUUUAGAGACCCGAACACUCAUUUUAGGAUCCGGCCCGGCUUCUCCACCUGCCUUCUAACUCUAGUCUUACUCUUACCCUAUGAAGCGUGCAAAGAAUCACUCGAAUGCAGCAGUUUACUUAGUGAUCAACUCAGAUACUCGGACUUCUAGCGAAGUGGAUGCAAUGAGACCAAGUUUUGAGCUCGAUGAAAACGAUGGGUCUACUUCUGGAGGUUCUUAUGGUUGCUUCGGUUAUGUUUUCUCUGUCGGCGGUACCCAGAGACCCACCUUAUAAUGGUGUUGUGGAGACUGAUGCAGCUUCUCAGCUCAGAUGAAUCUUUCUCCAAAAUGGUUUAUUUUGUUCCAUUGAAUCAGAUGACGGCGGGAAUCUUCUCCCUGGUUUCGAUAAAGAAUCAUAUGCUUAAGCAGGUAUGAGGCGAGUCUUCAUAGCCAGUGUGGACCAUUCACUAGUUCCUAUAACGUCACACUGAACAAACUCAAGUCUGAUGGUGGAACACUGUUGGUGAACUAGGAAGUAGGAUGCUGAGCCCAGCUUUUCUUUAUGCUCUCUUACCAAACCGGGCUUUACUUGUGGAACAAGGUCCUGAAAUGGCUGAUCUUUUCUUUGAACCAUUUCCAGACGCUUCUUGGUUUAAGAGAGGAAUAGUUUUUUCCUCUACUAGGUGUUGUAAGGUAAGGACAUGUAUCAGUGCAUAACUUAAUCUGAGUUCUAUAUUUUUUUCUCCAA